UAAUACGGAGGGUGCAAGCGUUAUCCGGAUUUAUUGGGUUUAAAGGGUGCGCAGGCGGAAUGAUUAGUCAGUGGUGAAAUCCUACAGCUCAACUGUAGAACUGCCAUUGAUACUGUCAUUCUUGAGUACAUUUGAGGUAGGCGGAAUGUAUCAUGUAGCGGUGAAAUGCAUAGAUAUGAUACAGAACACCGAUAGCGAAGGCAGCUUACCAAACUGUAACUGACGCUCAGGCACGAAAGCGUGGGGAGCAAACAGGAUUAGAUACCCUGGUAGUCCACGCCGUAAACGAUGAUCACUCGCUGUUGGCAAUAAACAGUCAGCGGCUAAGCGAAAGUGUUAAGUGAUCCACCUGGGGAGUACGAUCGCAAGGUUG
rnacentral:rRNA from 1 species